AUUCCUUCUCUCUCUGGUCCCUUAGAUUUAUUCCAUUUUCUCAGACGAGCUCAAAUGUCUGCAAUGGCGGCUUGCACUGUGAAUGUGCUCAGGUGACUGGCUCCAGCGACUCUGCUUCAUCGACGUGCUGCGUGGUGCUCAGCCUUGGAAGAAGGCUAUGCUCAUCUAUUUGAAGAGAAGUGCAUAUGAGAAGUAUAUAGAAAAUUACUACCUCCUUAUAUAAGUUUCAGAAAGUCUUGAUCCCAGUUUUGCAAGAGACAGGUAGGUUACACAAGGCAAUCUCAUCUGAUGUUGGGUGAUUUCAUUAAGGUACUUUCCAAUUUACUGUAUAAUCUUAAUCUGUCAUUGGUGAGAGAAAAAUU